rnacentral:rRNA from 1 species
GGUCUUGACAUCCCGGAGACCCUUAGGAAACUAGGGGUGCUUCCAUCUGGAAGAAUCUGGAGACAGGUGCUGCAUGGCUGUCGUCAGCUCGUGUCGUGAGAUGUGGGUUAAGUCCCGCAACGAGCGCAACCCUUGCCUUUAGUUGCCAGCAGUUCGGCUGGGCACUCUAAAGGGACUGCCGGUGUUAAACCGGAGGAAGGUGGGGAUGACGUCAAGUCCUCAUGGCCUUUAUGACCAGGGCUACACACGUACUACAAUGGCCGAUACAAAGGGCAGCGACACUGCGAGGUGAAGCCAAUCCCGUAAAAUCGGUCUCAGUCCGGAUUGGAGUCUGCAACUCGACUCCAUGAAGUUGGAAUCGCUAGUAAUCGUGGAUCAGCAUGCCACGGUGAAUACGUUCCCGGGCCUU